rnacentral:rRNA from 1 species
UAAAAACCCCGACUUCGGAAGGGGUGUAUUUAUUAGAUACAAAACCAAUGCCCUUCGGGGCUCUUUGGUGAUUCAUGAUAACUAUACGAAUCGCACGGCCUUGCGCCGGCGAUGGUUCAUUCAAAUUUCUUCCCUAUCAACUUUCGAUGUUUGGGUAUUGGCCAAACAUGGUUGCAACGGGUAACGGAGGGUUAGGGCUCGACCCCGGAGAAGGAGCCUGAGAAACGGCUACUACAUCCAAGGAAGGCAGCAGGCGCGCAAAUUACCCAAUCCCGACUCGGGGAGGUAGUGACAAUAAAUACUGAUACAGGGCCCUUUCGGGCCUUGUAAUUGGAAUGAGUACAAUUUAAAUCCCUUAACGAGGAACAAUUGGAGGGCAAGUCUGGUGCCAGCAGCCGCGGUAAUUCCAGCUCCAAUAGCGUAUAUUAAAGUUGUUGUGGUUAAAAAGCUCGUAGUUGAACCUUGGGCCUGGCUGGCCGGUCCGCCUCACCGCGUGCACUGGUCCGGCCGGGCCUUUCCUUCUGUGGAACCCCAUACCCUUCACUAGGCGUGGCGGGGAAACAAGAAAUUUACUUU